CCCUUAGAUGUUCUGGGCUGCACGCGCGCUACACUGAUGCAUCCAGCGAGUUGUAACCUUGCUUGGUAAAGUUUGGUAAUCUGAGGCUAAUGUGCAUCGUGAUGGGAAUAGAGUUUUGCAACUAUUAGUCUUGAACGAGGAAUUCCUCGUAAGCACGAGUCAUCAGCUUGUGCUGAUUACGUCCCUGCCCUUUGUACACACCGCCCGUCGCUCCUACCGAUUGGGUGCUCCGGUGAAUUGUUUGGACUGCAGCACUGCUUGGUCUCCAGGCUUUGCAGCGGAAAGUUUAGUGAACCUUAUCACUUAGAGGAAGGAGAAGUCGUAACA
rnacentral:rRNA from 1 species